GGGGCUGAUUUUGGAUUUGACGAAAUUUUCGAAAUCUGAAGUGCAUGUCGAGGUACGGUUGGCCUCGCAAAAAACCGUAAAAAAAUAGUAGCAAACGAUAAAAACUACGCUUUAGCAGCCUAAUAAUCUGUUCAAAGCCCUUUCUUUCUAGUUUUCUCUUGCAUUAGAUAAAUAAGAAAGGUCAAUCUUAAAGAGAUCGCACUAAUCAAGAACACCUAAAACUGAUAAGUGUUAAAAUUAAAAUUAGGUUAGUUUGAUAAAAUAGUGUCUAAUUCUAUUUGUCAAAUAAAUUAAAAAGAUAGACUAAGCAUGUAGUACUUAAGAUGUAGAAAUUUCGGACGCGGGUUCGAAUCCCGCCAGCUCCACCA
rnacentral:tmRNA from 1 species